UGCUUCUUCCCUAAGAGCGCUGCGCGGCCGGCAGCCUCUUCCGAGCUUCAGACCGACCCAAGACGGCUGCCUGCAGGCGGCCGUGCUGCGCGCUGCGCAACGCGGCGAGCCACCCGCGUCCUUCCCUCCUGGCGGCCGCGCAGGAUGUGUCGGGCAAUGCUGCCCCCUGCCGGCCACGAGGCGCAGGGCUUCUUCCCUGCCUUCAGGGCGGAGGUGGAAGUGUGGCCACAAAGCGGGACGCGGCUACUGGCCCCAUUCACUGCGUGAACGCUCCUCGUGCACGGCGGGGAACGAAUCCAGUGAGCGCAGUGGUCUUCCCCGAAGUUUCUGUAUUUUGCUGUCCCUCUGCUGCGCUGAGCAUCGUGAUCCCUGCAAAGCGGAAUAUGCAUCGAACAAAAUGAGCAUAUUCUGACUUGGCACUUGUGAAGCUCUGAAAGAAGCAGGCUGCCAGAAAUGUCUUACACUGACACAGUGUAAUGCUGUGAAGGCCCAGGUCUGGAGCAUGCACACCCAGGUGCACUGAGGAGCACUGGGAUUUGCAGUGGGACAGUUUCUAUAGGGAUCUGGCAGGUAUGUAAACCAUGGUAGUGUAUCAUAUGUCACUGGGAUGCCAGAGGAGGCACCCUUGGAAUCUCCAGGCCUGAAGUAGCAUCAACAAAGUAAGACAGAAGCUCACUGUGGACAUUUAUUUCAAGACUUCCCUUUCUGCUGGAGAAUUACAGUCCCAAGUAGUGCAGGCACCAGAGGCUGACUAGAUUUGCCCUGCCUAUCUCAUCUCCUGCAUUAAGAUCCUUGAUUUGGGAGCUGGGCAUUUGGCAGCACCCAGCACACAAACAAAUGAUCUAAAAAGAGUCUGCAGCAAAUCAUACUACUGUGAAUCCUGUUUUGCCACCCAUUUCUGCUGUUUAUCAGGUGUGGGCCAUUACCCCUCAUUCUGAAAAUCAAAAGGGCUGAAAACAAAACAAGCAUCUCAGGUUGUCUCCUCAGUAUUGCUCCUUGCUGUAUGUACGGUAACUGUUGGGUCACAGCCUGAACCACUGAUUGAGCACCUGCAGAAAGAGCCCGGUCAGCCCUGGGAGCACAGGUGAAGGCAAUUCACCUGAGCAUCUGGAAAGGGUGGAGCCUGACUGCAGCUCUCUUAGACCCUAUUAAAGGACUGACUGUAACUGAAGAAAGGUCUCUGGUUGGAGAUUUUUCCUUUGUGGGGUUUUUCCUGUGAGCCUGGAUCUUUGGAGUUUGGUGAGCACUUUUCCUUUAUAACACCAUUCUGUCUGUGCUAGUCCCUUUGCUGUUACACUCCUGUAUGACCUUUUCACUGCACUAACCUUUUUGAUUCUACUACUGUACCACUCCAUUCAGAUCAAGCCUUGUGAUGCACAGCCACCAUGUCUACAGCAGGAAACAUUCUCUCAGAAUGUGCUACUCACAGGCAAAGGAGCUUGGGUGGAAAGCAGAUAAAAGAAUAGUAACCAGAUCCCAGAUUCCUUGUCAGCUAGAAGAAUUCAAUGCCUAAAUGACACACAUAGCUUUUUUAUAAAGAACGCUGUGAGACACAAAUCCCAUGAAUGUGUUCCUUAAAUCUAGCUCUGCUCCCCAGGAUACUGAGAAGAUCCAUACUACGUCUGCUGGCAGGAGCUACUGACAAGUGCUGAUGUCUCUCUUUUGGCUGUAAUUCAGGCCCCAGGUCACUGCAGUGUGAGUACUCCAAAUAAACGCAUCUGUUUACUACCUUAAUCA
ensembl:lncRNA